UACAGAGGGUGCGAGCGUUAAUCGGAAUUACUGGGCGUAAAGCGUGCGUAGACGGUUUCGUAAGUCGGAUGUGAAAUCCCCGGGCUCAACCUGGGAAUUGCAUUCGAAACUGCAAGGCUUGGGUGCGGAAGAGGGAAGCGGAAUUUCCGGUGUAGCGGUGAAAUGCGUAGAUAUCGGAAGGAACACCAGUGGCGAAAGCGACUUCCUGGUCCAAUACUGACGUUCAUGUGCGAAAGCGUGGGGAGCAAACAG
rnacentral:rRNA from 1 species